AAUUGGACGGGGCCCGCACAAGCGGUGGAGCAUGUUGGUUUAAUUCGAAGCAACGCGAACGAACCUUACCAGGUCUUGACAUCCCGAUGCUUAUUUCUAGAGAUAGAAAGUUACUUCGGUACAUCGGUGACAGGUGGUGCAUGGUUGUCGUCAGCUCGUGUCGUGAGAUGUUGGGUUAAGUCCCGCAACGAGCGCAACCCCUAUUGUUAGUUGCCAUCAUUCAGUUGGGCACUCUAGCGAGACUGCCGGUAAUAAACCGGAGGAAGUGGGGAUGACGUCAAAUCAUCAUGCCCCUUAUGACCUGGGCUACACACGUGCUACAAUGGUUGGUACAACGAGUUGCGAGUCGGUGACGGCGAGCUAAUCUCUUAAAGCCAAUCUCAGUUCGGAUUGUAGGCUGCAACUCGCCUACAUGAAGUCGGAAUCGCUAGUAAUCGCGGAUCAGCACGCCGCGGUGAAUACGUUCCCGGGCCUU
rnacentral:rRNA from 1 species